UCCCUCGUGGCUCAGUGGUAAAGAACCCGCCUGCAAUGCAGGAGACCCGGGUUCGAUUCCUGGCGGGGGAA